AGUGAGCCACCGGGCCCAGCCAAGGAUAAAACUUUAUAGAGGAACACCCUGGCCAGUUUGAUGACUCGGGAGAUGGUUGGAAAAAAGCAGAUGGCAAGUGAGCAGGUAAAGAGAAGAAGAAUUGGUUAAAAGGAAAUUUGGAGACAUUUGUCAGUUCAAUAAUGUAGUUCUUGGCCCCUUUUCACAUAGAAUGAAAAAGCUUACAAAAAACUUUGAAUAAAAUUAUACAAUACUUACAA